rnacentral:rRNA from 1 species
CCUACGGGAGGCAGCAGUGGGGAAUAUUGCACAAUGGGCGCAAGCCUGAUGCAGCGACGCCGCGUGAGGGAUGACGGCCUUCGGGUUGUAAACCUCUUUCAGUAGGGAAGAAGCGAAAGUGACGGUACCUGCAGAAGAAGCGCCGGCUAACUACGUGCCAGCAGCCGCGGUAAUACGUAGGGCGCAAGCGUUAUCCGGAAUUAUUGGGCGUAAAGAGCUCGUAGGCGGUUUGUCGCGUCUGCCGUGAAAGUCCGGGGCUCAACUCCGGAUCUGCGGUGGGUACGGGCAGACUAGAGUGAUGUAGGGGAGACUGGAAUUCCUGGUGUAGCGGUGAAAUGCGCAGAUAUCAGGAGGAACACCGAUGGCGAAGGCAGGUCUCUGGGCAUUAACUGACGCUGAGGAGCGAAAGCAUGGGGAGCGAACAGGAUUAGAUACCCUGGUAGUCCAUGCCGUAAACGUUGGGCACUAGGUGUGGGGGACAUUCCACGUUUUCCGCGCCGUAGCUAACGCAUUAAGUGCCCCGCCUGGGGAGUACGGCCGCAAGGCAAACUCAAAGGAAUUGACGG